CUGAUGCUGGUUAGUACUCAAGUCUAUUUUUAAUAUUUUAUUUUGUUACACAUUUAAGUGACUUUGUAAGUACAUGUAACUUCAUCCAUUUUAAUUUGCAGUUUUAUUUUGAGAAGAGAUGAGAGCAAACGAUUCUUUUGAGGAAUGGCCUCGCUACUUCUUGUUCUGCGUCUGGGUCAUCGACAUCGCCCUGAUAUUUACUGUAUAUCACUUGGAAGCAUGUUUGAAAAAAAAGGUUGAAAUGUACAUUAAGAGCAGAUGUCAAGAAGAGGACUAUGUCAACAAUGCAAGCGAAUUUAUAUGCGAGCAAGCCAGUUGAAGCAGUAAUUGGACAAUUAAUGUUAAAUUGCUUGGCAGUUCAAAGAAACAACUGGCAUCUUUUAAUGGACCUACUUCAUUAAAUGAAUUUUGUUCACUCCAUUUAACUGUAUAUUUUGUGCAGCAAUCAGCAGUAAAUUUUGAAUAACAGGUACAGCUUGAUAAUAUGAUGUUCAUAUUCACAUGUUUCUGAUACUUUUUUUAAAAUGUCUAAAAUAAACCUGAAAAGAUAAUGAGCCUA